UGCUGCUGCUGCUGGGCCUUUCCUUGCUGUUGGGCUUCCUGCAAGGUUAAGCUUCUGGGGGCAUCUAGAAG
rnacentral:miRNA from 1 species